rnacentral:rRNA from 1 species
GACGAACGCUGGCGGCGUGCUUAACACAUGCAAGUCGAGCGGUAAGGCCCUUUCGGGGGUACACGAGCGGCGAACGGGUGAGUAACACGUGGGUGACCUGCCCUCAGCUCUGGGAUAAGCCUGGGAAACCGGGUCUAAUACUGGAUAUGACUCCAUGACGCAUGUUGUGGGGUGGAAAGCCUUGUGCGGCUGAGGAUGGGCCCGCGGCCUAU